GCAUAUCAGAUCUAACCAGUGAAGAAUACAAAGAGGAAAUACGAAACAAUCUGGAGGAAGGCUUCAAGUACAGACUAGACAACCACCACAGUCUCAUGUACAGAGUUCUCGGAGGGCUUCCUAUUCAGCUGAUGUGUUUUGUACCAAUGGAACCAGAGGAAGCUGAACUGGUUGUCUGGCACUUCAACCGCCGGAAGCUGAUUUACACAGGAAAGGUGGUGCUGGUUCAGAACCUAGACGUCUAUCUUGAAGGCUGUCAGUAAUAAUCAGUACUUUUAUCUAUAAAGAAGUCAAUAUCAGAAAGUUUUAGUUUGGCCUUGAAUAAAACCUAUAUCAAUUGAAUGGUUGAACGACUCCAGCUAUCAUUGUAUGUGUUGCAGUUGUGAAUAAAGACAGAUAGGUACCCCUUGAGUAUAAAUUUUGUCAA